GCAUUUAAUAUUCACUGAAGUGCUGCUUGUAUCCAAUUAUAACUCACUACUUGCCAUCUUAAUAAUUUAAAUCUGUCCACUCUUUAGAGAAGGGGGAAAAAAGCACUAAUCAAAGACAUGAAUGCACCUUUUGCUUUUGACAGCAUUAAAUUAAAACUAAAUGGUAGAUCUUGAAUGAGUUACUCUGCAAGAAUAAAGGCAUUAAUGAGGUAAUUUCAUUAUAGAGGCUCAUCCAAGCCUAUGUGAAAACAAGGGAAGUAAAUGGAGAGGAAAGCCACCGAGGAAAUUAGGGUUCCUUCCACACUAAUUAAUGUUUUGGGGCAUUUAGUAUAGGCACCAAAUUAACUGCUCCAAAGAACUCCAUUGAAGAAAAAAAAUACAUUGUUGCCCUGCCGUGUAAUUAGAAGACAGUACAAGGAGAACACUUAAUGAGUAUAAAGCCAGCCUUUAACUUAUUCUGCCCAGCUUCUGAAAACAUGCCAUUGUGGAGGCCUAAGUUUAAGGAAGCAACAGGCGUACAAUAUAGGAUUGUUUAGGUCCUUCUGUUCGGUGAGCUGUAAACAGGUAGCCCUGAAUGAGAGACUCUGGGACUCCUGGGAGGCCCGGCUUCCCAGCAAAAAAAGACUUAAAUGCAUCCAGAGGGAAGUAAAAAAGGUGAAUAGGCCCAGCGCGGCUCGCCCAGUGAAUGCUCACUGCUGUCUUAAAAGAUUACAUGAUGUUGUGCCACCCCCUCUCAUUGAGUUAUCUUUACACUGCUUUUGUCUCCUCUAAUUGGAGCUGAUGAGGUGCUAAUUGGUUGCUUUUUAAAAAAAGCACUGCUUAAGCGCUGGCAAGCAGAGUAAGACAGCGUGAGUGGAGUUAAUGAGGGCUUAGCACCCCACAGACCUCAAGCAGCCCCACCGCCAUGUAUAGGCAUGCCUUCCUGUCGGCAUAAACGAGCACGUGAAGGGACAGCACUGAAUUUAGGUUUAUGCUAAGAAAGAAUAUGAAGAAUCUGUCUGCCCUGUUGCUGACGUUGCCCAGCAGUAGCAAAAAUAAUCGUGCAGGCUUACUGAACGUGACGCUGCAAAAGUCCAUGGAAGAAGCUGGCCCAUCGCAGAACCACCUGGGUUGGUAAGGACCUUGACGCUCAUCAAGUCCAACCAUCAACCUGACAUUAGAUUGUGU